rnacentral:rRNA from 1 species
UGCCAGCCGCCGCGGUAAUACGGAGGGUGCAAGCGUUGUUCGGAAUCAUUGGGCGUAAAGCGCGUGUAGGCGGCUAACUAAGUCUGAUGUGAAAGCCCGGGGCUUAACCCCGGAAGUGCAUUGGAUACUGGUUAGCUAGAGGGCGAGAGGGGGAAGCGGAAUUCCAGGUGUAGGGGUGAAAUCCGUAGAUAUCUGGAGGAACAUCGGAGGCGAAGGCGGCUUCCUGGCUCGCAUCUGACGCUGAGACGCGAAAGCGUGGGUAGCAAACAGGAUUAGAUA